rnacentral:piRNA from 1 species
UGAGGUGUCAGGUCGCAUUGAGGCCAUUGA